rnacentral:rRNA from 1 species
AACGAACGCUGGCGGCAGGCUUAACACAUGCAAGUCGAACGCAUCCUUCGGGGUGAGUGGCAGACGGGUGAGUAACGCGUGGGAACGUGCCCUUCAGUUCGGGAUAACCCAGGGAAACUUGGGCUAAUACCGGAUACGUGCGAGAGCAGAAAGAUUUAUCGCUGAAGGAUCGGCCCGCGUCUGAUUAGCUAGUUGGUGGGGUAAUGGCCCACCAAGGCGACGAUCAGUAGCUGGUCUGAGGGGAUGAUCAGCCACAUUGGGACUGAGACACGGCCAAAACUCCUAGGGGAGGCAGCAGUGGGGAAUAUUGGACAAUGGGCGCAAGCCUGAUCCAGCCAUGCCGCGUGAGUGAUGAAGGCCUUAGGGUUGUAAAGCUCUUUCGUCCGGGACGAUAAUGACGGUACCGGAAGAAGAAGCCCCGGCUAACUUCGUGCCAGCAGCCGCCGUAA